CCUACGGGGGGCUGCAGUAGGGAAUUUUGCGCAAUGGGGGAAACCCUGACGCAGCAACGCCGCGUGAUCGAUGAAGCCCUUCGGGGUGUAAAGAUCUGUCAGUGGGGACGAAACCUGACGGUACCCACAGAGGAAGCACCGGCUACACCCGGGCCAGAAGCCGUGGUAAUACGGGGGGUGCAAGCGUUGUCCGGAUACAGUGGGCGUAAAGUGUUCGUAGGUGGCACGUUCAGUCUGGUGUUAAAGGCGGAAGCUCAACUUCCGUAGCGCCCUGGAUAUUAGCGAGCUUGAAUGCGGUAGAGGUAAAGGGAAUUCCUGGUGUAGCGGUGAAAUGCGUAGAUAUCAGGAGGAACAUCGGUGGCGUAGGCGCUUUACUGGGCCGUAAUUGACACUGAGGAACGAAAGCCGGGGUAGCAAAUGGGAUUAGAUACCCUUGUAGUC
rnacentral:rRNA from 1 species